rnacentral:sRNA from 1 species
GACACCAGAGAAACAAGGCGAAAUUUCUUACUGAUAAGCUCCAAGCUUUAAGAAAUGCUGUUCAGACUGGCCUUGAUCCAGAAAAACCUCAUCAGUCUCUCGAUACCAUCCAAAAAACCAUCAAUGAGUAUAAAUCUGAAAUUCGACAAACAAGAAAAUUCCGUGAUGCUGAACAAGAAAAAGAUAGAACAUUGCUUAAGACCAUCAUAAAAGUUUGGAAAGAGAUGAAAUCCCUUCGAGAGUUCCAGAGAUUUACAAAUACUCCCUUGAAACUUGUUUUGAGAAAGUAGGCUUUUUUGAAAAAUUAUUUUAUUGGGCUAUAUCAUACAUUAAGAAAAAUGUAUAAAACAUGGAUACAGUUUUAAAAGUAAUUACAAACAAAUAUGCAUGUAACCACUUCCCAGGU